GGGUUGCUAACUCAACGGUAGAGUAGCUGGCUUUUAACCAGUAAGUUCAGGGUUCGAAUCCCUGGCAACCCAUCA
rnacentral:tRNA from 1 species